rnacentral:misc_RNA from 1 species
UCUCCGUUGGUGAACCAGCGGAGGGAUCAUUACAGGAUUCGCAAGAACUCCCGUAACCACUGUGAACCUUACCUUCUGUUGCUUCGGCGGGAUCGCCCCGGCUGCCCUGAGCGCCGGAACCAGGCCCCCGCCGCAAGACCUUAAACUCUGUUUUAUUAUAGUUGUUUACUCUGAGUAGCUUCUAAAGCAAAGAAAUAAAUCAAAACUUUCAACAACGGAUCUCUUGGUUCUGGCAUCGAUGAAGAACGCAGC